rnacentral:rRNA from 1 species
UGGGGAAUAUUGCGCAAUGGGGGAAACCCUGACGCAGCGACGCCGCGUGCGGGAUGAAGGCCUUCGGGUUGUAAACCGCUUUUGAUUGGGAGCAAGCCUUUUGGGUGAGUGUACCUUUCGAAUAAGCGCCGGCUAACUACGUGCCAGCAGCCGCGUUAAUACGUAGGUGGCAAGCGUUGUCCGGAAUUAUUGGGCGUAAAGCGCGCGCAGGUGGUUUAGAAAGUCUGAUGUGAAAGCCCACGGCUCAACCGUGGAGGGUGAUUGGAAACUAAUAAACUUGAGUGCAGGAGAGAAAAGUGGAAUUCCUAGUGUAGCGGUGAAAUGCGUAGAGAUUAGGAGGAACACCAGUAGCGAAGGCGACUUUCUGGACGGCAACUGAAACUGAGACACGAAAGCGUGGGUAGCAAGCAGG